UUUUACUGUGUAUGUACAUAUGUACAAUACACACUGUUACUUUUGUAGACCUGUUUGAUGCAUGACAUUAUAAUUCAUUGACAUUAUUAUUUGCAUGUACAUGUGUACAUGUACAAUUACAAUUUUACAUGUCUGUAGAUUGUGUUUAGAUCAGCCUCAUUGCAAUUCUUCCUAUUCAUGCAAGUCAGUUCAGAGAUAUGGGAGUUUGAUCCCAAUGGUGAUACUUACUUUGAUGAAGCAGUUGAUGGUUUUUGAAGGAUCUCUUCUCCGUUUGGAAGGUGUGAUUCCAUUGAUAAACUCCAUAAAAGGUGUGAGACCAUUGAUUGAGAGAUACAGGACUCACAACAGUUCAAGGACUUCUACCAGUUUACGUUUAAUAUUGCCAAAAACUCGGGCAGAAAGGACUAG